AAUAGAUACCCCGGUAGUCCACGCCGUAAACGAUGGAUGCUAGCUGUUAUGAGUAUCGACCCUUGUAGUAGCGAAGCUAACGCGUUAAGCAUCCCGCCUGUGGAGUACGAGCGCAAGCUUAAAACAUAAGGGAAUUGACGGGGACCCGCACAAGCGGUGGAGCGUGUUGUUUAAUUCGAUGAUAAGCGAAGAGCCUUACCAAGGCUUGACAUCCCUGGAAUUUCUCCGAAAGGAGAGAGUGCCUUCGGGAAUCAGGUGACAGGUGAUGCAUGGCCGUCGUCAGCUCGUGUCGUGAGAUGUUUGGUUAAGUCCAUCAACGAGCGCAACCCUUGUAAAUAGUUGAAUUUUUCUAUUUAGACUGCCUCGGUAACGGGGAGGAAGGAGGGGAUGAUGUCAGGUCAGUAUUUCCCUUACGCCUUGGGCUACAAACACGCUACAAUGGCCGGUACAAAGGGCAGCCAACCCGCGAGGGGGAGCAAAUCCCAUCAAAACCGGUCUCAGUUCGGAUAGCAGGCUGAAAUUCGCCUGCUUGAAGCCGG
rnacentral:rRNA from 1 species